UACGUAGGGUGCAAGCGUUAUCCGGAAUUAUUGGGCGUAAAGAGCUUGUAGGCGGUUUGUCGCGUCUGCCGUGAAAAUUCGAGGCUCAACCUCGAACUUGCGGUGGGUACGGGCAGACUAGAGUGUGGUAGGGGAGACUGGAAUUCCUGGUGUAGCGGUGAAAUGCGCAGAUAUCAGGAGGAACACCGAUGGCGAAGGCAGGUCUCUGGGCCACUACUGACGCUGAGAAGCGAAAGCAUAGGGAGCGAACAGG
rnacentral:rRNA from 1 species